UACGUAGGGGGCUAGCGUUGUCCGGAAUCAUUGGGCGUAAAGCGCGUGUAGGCGGCCAUGUAGGUCCGUUGUGAAAACUCGAGGCUCAACCUCGAGACGCCGAUGGAAACCAUGUGGCUAGAGUCCGGAAGAGGAGAGUGGAAUUCCUGGUGUAGCGGUGAAAUGCGCAGAUAUCAGGAAGAACACCCGUGGCUAAGGCGGCUCUCUAGUACGGUACUGACGCUGAGACGCGAAAGCGUGGGGAGCGAACAGG
rnacentral:rRNA from 1 species